UCCAGUCCUUGCCGUUCCCGCGCGGGUUGCGCGGGUUCUUUCUGCCCCUCGGGAGCGGCUGCCGGGCGCUGGGCCACUCUGGGCGGUGCGCCGACUCCAGGGGUGAUGGUCACACGGGCAGGUCGCGCAGUGUCAAGGACUCCAUGGCAGUCCAGCCAGGGUGAUCUGUGGAGCCUGGGAAUUUCUCCAUUCUAUGGGCCACAUACCUAGGAGAUGCAUGUUUGGUCCUGAAGAUAGCCGGAGUGGGAGCUCACCUAAGGGCCACAGGAAGAUCGUUAUUAUCCAAAGAUGUUUCAACCAAGUUUGAUGGAUGUUCACGCCAAGAUCUGGAUGUAGAACUCUCAGUUCCUUCUCCAGCACCAUGUCUGCCUGCAUGCUGCCAUGCUCCCUACCGCGAUGAGAAUAGACCAAACCUCUGAGCGAACACUGGCUAAGACGACCUAUGAACAAGCAUUUCUGAGGCCUCAGUGGUGCCGAGUGCAGCCAUCAGCUGGGUGUAUCUGUCUUUCCCGUGCUGGAGCUUUGCCUGGGAGGGACAUGACCAUGAGGAGCUAAUCUCAAAUGCAGAAGGCACAGUAUACAGUAUAAGAAAGUCUCCAGAGAGGCAAGAACGGCCAAUGGGAGAAGGCCCCAUCUUCCGCAGCCCUAUCCAGAUGCCACCAUGCUGCUGCUUCCUGUGGAGGUGUCUGGAGGCUCAGUCGUACUACCCAGGUGUGUGUGCACAUGUUGUCAGAGUUACUGUCAGCUGUGUGUUUGCAAUCCUCUUUUCCUGCAGCCUCCCUCAGAACUGUUGUUCCAUGCCUGCUGACCAGGGCCAAGCUUGCUUCCUGGCCACUGCCAUUCCUCUGGGUUUGAACUUCCCUUCAGGCAUCAGUAUCUGAUUACUGAACACUUCUGCUGUGUUUGUCAUCCGUGGUCAAGGCCAUCCAGCGGGGUUAGAUAUGAGUGACCAGACUCCAGCUCCGCAGGAUCCCCGAGACCCUCGUGUCCAUGCCUACACCAGCAUCGACUGCAAGCCACCAACACGUUCUCAGUAGAGCUUGCUCUUGGCUCAUCCAGGUGAGCUGCUUUCCGGACAUCAAGCUCCGCCCCUGCUGCAGUCUGGCACUGUGUGCUGUCUUCCUUCCCAGGAACACAUCCGGAGGCUGAAUGAACAGAGCCAGCCUCAGAGGAUACUAUCACCUAUCAGACUAUCAGCCUGUGGGGGACGACAGCUGCUCGUCCAGCCCCACCCUCCAACAAGCCUGCGAGCCUGUGCAUCCUCCGUCAGCGGUAGCCGCUUGCUGUGUUCUUUUGCUCUGAACGCGAACACCAUCAAGACUUAAGCUGCAGCAAAAAAAAAAAAAAAAAAAAAAAAAAAAAAAGCCAUCUGGAACUUUCAGUCCACGGAGGUGCUGAGGUCACACUGUCCAGGAGCCAUUUGGGAGUCCUGGCUUGUAGCCCUGCUUCACUCAUUGAUGAGAACAAACUGGAGAGAGUGUCUGUCUUUUCCCAGAAGACACCUGGCUGUGUUGCUCAAGCCCUUAUUGUCAUGGCCACCCCACCCUGUGUGCUGUCACGAAUCUCCUACCUUUGUCUCAGGCAACGCCACCUGGCAUGGCCCCUGCAGCCACUUGGCAUGCUGUGGGAAGUGGGACUGCCUGAGAGCUCCCACUGAGGUGGGAGAGGCCUAACUGCGUGGCAGCUUCAAAACUGAAGGAGAACGGCUCGGGAGAUGGUUCAGCCAGGAAAGCACCAUCAUGCAAGUACGAGAACCUCAGUUCGAAUUCCCGGUACCCAUCUAUUUCCCAGUAGCUGAGCACGGCAGUGCACAUUUGUGACUCCAGUGCUCGGGUGGUGGAGGCAGGAGGAUUCCUAUUGCUCAUUGACUGGCCCUCUUAGCCGAUUCAAUGAGGUUCAAUAAGGGACUGUGUCUCAAAAACAAAGCAAAACAAAAAGCUGAAGAGUCAUAGAGGAAAGCAUCUGGCAUUGCCCUCUGACCCCCACAUGCAGGCACGCACUCACACAUGUACACUUAAUGUGAACAUGUACAUACACCAUAUGUGCAUGUGCACCACAUGGCAAGGAGGAGGCCUGUCUGCUCUCAGCAGCUGUGUGCCCUUAGACAAGUUAGAUCACCUACCUGAGCCUUUGUUUACAAAAACGGCACAGGUGGGACCCCUGGCAGCACAGCCCACAGGAGAACAAAUAAGAUUGGCACAUGACCUAAGGCACAGUGGCUUUGAAAGAAAAUGGGCCCCAAGGGGAGUGGCACUAUAAGGAGGUGUGGCCUUGUUGGAGGUAGUGCACAACUGUGGGGGCGGACUUUGCAGUCUCUUGCUCAAGCUUCCCUCAACGUGACUUUCAGUCAACUUCCUGUUACCUGUAAGAUGUGGGACUCUCAGCUACUUCUCCACACCAUGUCUGCCUGCAUGCCGCCAUUCUACCAGCCAUGAUGAUAACAGACUGAGCAUCUGAAAGUGUAAGCGAGCCACCCUUUGUAAGAGAGGACCGUCACGGCCAUGGUGACUUUCUACAGCAAUAAAAGCCCUAACUGAGACAGCGUGCCACAACUGACAACCCUCACUUCCGCUGAGGGAGUGCACUGAGGCACAGGUCCCUUGCACCUCAUCUUCCAGGUCUCCCCUCCCCUGCCCAUUUGGAUCAGCGUGGUCACCAUAGACCUCACACAGCCAGCUCCAAACGCUCCCUGGCCACCACGGGACCUCUCACUUCAGACCCUCCAUUUGACCAAACACAGCAGUUCAUUUCCAGAGCACAGUUACAGGUUUUCUCCAACAUUCUGGUCCCUUCUCCCUUGUGUGCAUGGUGACAGCAUUGUGAUGGGACCCCUGCCUCUUGUCCUUCCUCCAGUUGUCAAGACUUCCUCCAAGUCUUGUCCUUCCUGGCCUCUGAGAUUCUUCCUGGGGCUUUCAGCAUAUAGCCUUCCAUUCAUUCAUUCACUCAUCCAUCCAUCCAUCCAUUCAUUCAUCACACACUAUCACCCGCCCAUCCUUCAUUCAUCCAGCACCUAUCCAUCCCCCGUUUAUCACGCAUCCCCCCAACACCCGGUCAUCACCUCUCCACCACCCUCCAGCACCCGUCCAUUGUCCAUCACUCUGUCGUCUACCACCCUCCCCUACUCAUUCAUCCUCUAUCUUCUCUCUGCCACACAGUCAUCCAUCUUAUCCGUCCAUUCACACAUCCGCCCUUUUCACAAGCUGAUGACUCAGGUCUGCUCUCAGCUCCACAGCAUAACCGCUGAAAGUCACACACUUGGCGGGGAAGCUAAUGUCAAGAAAAUUAACCAGCAAACGGGGCAUCAGCUUUCUUUCCGUGCCCUUCCCCUCAGGAUCUGGCCGUCUCUCUGGCUUCUCCUCUCACCCCCCUCACCUACCACAACCCAGGAACUCAGUGAGAACUCCCCUCAGCCUGGAGAGCUGGUCCUUGUACCUUUCCCAGUGAGUUCCUUUCCACUACUCAGGAAGCAGGCUGCCUUCAGUGUGCAACCUGAAGACGGACUGGCUGAAUGACGAAGGCAACAUUUGGCUAAUGCGCCCACCAAAGAAGAGUCAUAGGCAACACUACUAGGAAGACAGUUGUCCACCUUCCAGAUUCUCUGCGUCUGGGGAUGGGGGAGGAGGGCUUGCCAUGGGCAUUCUGGCUAAAGGCCAUGGUCUCCCUGUCCUCUGUGUACAUUCAGCUUCCUGUGUGCAGCUAUCGUGCAUACAUGAGAGCUCAAGUCUUCCUCCCGGCUCUUUUCAGCCAAGACCAUCCUGCCCUUUAACCCAGAGCUGCCUUACCCCACAAGGGUCACCUGAGGGAGGGUCAGUGUCACACAUUCCCGUGUCGUCUGUGACUGUUUCCUCUGUGGCAUGUCCCCCUUCCCAGUCCCAAGCUCUGGGUUCCUAAUUUCGAGUUAAGAAUGCUUUAAGGUUUCUGGGUUUAUGUGGACCCGAAAAGCAGAACCAGGAAUCUUGUUCAUGAACUCUGAACUUGAGGCUCCCCCUGUAAUGUUUUCAUGAAGCUUCUCCCCAAGGUCCCUGCACUCUGGGUGCCUUUCUAGGUGUCUGAAGGCCCAGGAGGAGGCAAGAGCCUUGCUCUGUCUGUGGUUCCUCAGGGGAGGAGGGCAGGAAGCUCGCUUCUUCCUCCCCCACGUCUCCCAGGCCCUCCUCCCCCAGGCCCAUCCCUCACUGCUGUUCCAAGGAGGCGGAAGAAUGUCGUAGAUGCUGUAGCUGUUUUUCUGGAAGACUGUGAAGGCGCAUUAAAAUAUGUGGUCCGUGGGCGUGAGCUGGGCUGGGGCCUCACAGCUCCCUGAUGGGGGAAAGCACCAUGGAGAUGUGGUGGGGAGGGAGGCAGACAGACAGACAGACAGUGGAGGCAGAUGGAGAGAAAGAGCACGAUCUUUCUGAGGGUCUGGCCCCUGGUAUGGCCUCUGGUUUUCGGUCCUGCACGCAGAUUUACGAGGGUUUAUCCUAAGCGUCUACAGUGUGAGGCCAUGGAUAUACACCGUGGUUAUUUUGGGGAGUAGCAGGGAACCGCUCAUGGAAACUGCCUGCCUGGCCUCUCUGCCCCCUCCCUGUGCCCUAUUCCCUGUUCCUCUCUAAGGAACUAGCAGGAUGCAGGCAGAGAGGGUUCACGGCCGGCCAGCCCCUUGGUUCAAGUGGGAGCCCCUGGCUUGCAGGCCAAGCUGGUUGCUGGGGAUGGCCUGGCCUGUGAAAAGAUGCUGAGCAGAGAGGAACGGGGGCAGGAUGGGGAAAUCUAGUGGGGGGGAGGCUGUGAUCCGAGAGAGCAGGAGAAAAUAUGAGCUGAGCAGAGUGGAGCUCCGCCCCAUCUGAGCCCCUGUCCUCUACUCUGGGAAGUGAGGCUCAGCAUGUGGCUGGUGGCCAUUCUCUGGCCCUGAUCUGCCAGGAGCAGGAGAGGUUUGGGGAAGCUGCAUCCCUCAGGUGCAGGGUGGCAGCGCCACCCUUCCCAGAUGCUGGCCGGUACUCUCCUUUGAACCAUCUCCAAAUCCUGUUGUGCCAAUCUUAAAAUAUCUUCACUCUCCUGCACCCAGUACCCUGUUAUCACAUCCCAUCCCUUGCUAUACCCAAGGCUAAUGGCCUCCCAUCUCUGGGCUGGGCUCUUCAGGCCUGAACCCUGACCACUGUGAUUUGCUCUAAAGCAUGGCAUCACCCUCCCCAGUCGUGAAGUAUGGGGUCUGCUGGCUGCGUUGAGGUGGCCACCCUUGUUCUCCCUCUGGGGGUUCAGUCCGCAGUCUCCUUGACAGAAGUCACAUGACCCCAUGUGGAAACUUGGUGUGGGCAGAGGAAGGAGAGCCAUCUUGAGCCCCACUAAAAAAGGGGGCAGAGCCUUGAUCCAGCCUCACCUGAUGAUGUCUGUGCUUGCCCAACUUGGGUUGUUGGUUCAAUUUUUUGAGACAAGGUCUUGCUGUGUAGCCCAGACUGGUUUGAACUUUCUGUUUCGGCCCCCUGUGACUUCAUUACUUCAAGAAGUACUGCUCUGUCACUAGUGUGUGAUUGACAGGUCGUAUAGGAGGGUCAGACAAUAGCCUCAGCUACAGUAGCCUCAUUGACCACACCCCUUUUUCUCAGCCACUUUCCUCGUACAAGGUACAGGCAGUGUCCUUGCCGCUAGCUGAAGGGAGCAGGCAAGAUGGCCGCCCCUCUGCAGUGUUUGCUCCUACAUGACCUCCAGAAGCCCAUGUCCUCUGACUCGCCCUUGGUGUGUUCAGACAUCUAUUUCUGGGCUUGCAAGUUACUGGGCUUCUGAAACUCUUGUGCCGUGGCCCCACAGCAGCAGAGCCUCUUAAAGGAGAGCUAACCCAGGGUCAGAGCUGGGUGCAGACGCAGCUUUUCGGUCGCGCUGGAACCACGGGUAAGAACUUGGCCCACUGCCCUUUACAGCAGGAGGCGGAGUCUCCACAGCAGACAGGUGUGAGCGGCACCUUCCCAGACGUCCCAGGCUCUGCGCAUUCCCGCGGACAUGUACCCAUCUUCCCGCAGCCUGAUUUUUUUACACCAGAUUUAUUGACGUACAAUUUGCAUACCAUAAAUCUGCCCAUUCGGAGUGC